rnacentral:rRNA from 1 species
UACGGAGGGUGCAAGCGUUGUCCGGAAUCACUGGGCGUAAAGGGCGCGUAGGCGGCUCAUGAAGGCUGUGGUAAAAGUCCGGGGCUCAACCUCGGAUCGGCCGUGGCGACUCGUGGGCUGGAGCACUGUAGAGGCGGGUGGAAUUCCGGGUGUAGCGGUGGAAUGCGUAGAGAUCGGGAGGAACAUCAGUGGCGAAGGCGGCCAUCUGGGACAACACUGACGCUGAAGCACGAAAGCGUGGGGGAGCGAACAGGG